rnacentral:rRNA from 1 species
UACAGAGGUCUCAAGCGUUAAUCGGAAUUACUGGGCGUAAAGCGUGCGCAGGCGGUUCUAUAAGUCAGGUGUGAAAUCCCCGGGCUCAACCUGGGAAUUGCAUUUGUGACUGUAGAGCUAGAGUACGGUAGAGGGGGAUGGAAUUCCGCGUGUAGCAGUGAAAUGCGUAGAUAUGCGGAGGAACACCGAUGGCGAAGGCAAUCCCCUGGACCUGUACUGACGCUCAUGCACGAAAGCGUGGGGAGCAAACAGG